rnacentral:rRNA from 1 species
UGGGGAAUCUUGGACAAUGGGGGCAACCCUGAUCCAGCCAUGCCGCGUGAACGAUGAAGGCCCUAGGGUUGUAAAGUUCUUUCAGCGAGGAAGAUAAUGACGGUACUCGCAGAAGAAGCCCCGGCUAACUCCGUGCCAGCAGCCGCGGUAAUACGGAGGGGGCUAGCGUUGUUCGGAAUUACUGGGCGUAAAGCGCACGUAGGCGGAUCGGUUAGUUAGGGGUGAAAUCCCGGGGCUCAACCCCGGAACUGCCUCUAAUACUGCUGGUCUAGAGAUCGAGAGAGGUGAGUGGAAUUCCGAGUGUAGAGGUGAAAUUCGUAGAUAUUCGGAGGAACACCAGUGGCGAAGGCGGCUCACUGGCUCGAUACUGACGCUGAGGUGCGAAAGCGUGGGGAGCAAACAGGAUUAGAUACCCCCGUAGUCC